rnacentral:rRNA from 1 species
GACGAACGCUGGCGGCGUGCUUAACACAUGCCAGUCGAACGGGCCCGCUCUCUUUUUUGGGGGUGGGUUGAGUGGCGAACGGGUGAGUAUCACGUGAGUAACCUGCCCCCUGCUCCUGGAUAACUGCUUGAAAGGGCGGCUAAUACGGGGUGUGCCGGCUGGUCCGCAUGGGCCUGGUCGGGAUAGUUUCAUCUUCGGGUGUUUCGGUGGGGGAUGGGCUCGCGGCCUAUCAGCUUGUUGGUGGGGUGAUGGCCCACCAAGGCGGUGACGGGUAGCCGGCCUGAGAGGGUGGGCGGCCACACUGGGACUGAGACACGGCCCAGACGCCUGCGGGAGGCAGCAGUGGGGGGUAUUGCACAAUGGGCGGAAGCCUGAUGCAGCGACGUCGCGUGAGGGAUGGAGGCCGUCGGGUGGGGAACCUCUUUCUCCGGUGGUGAAGGCCCUGUCCGUUGCGGCGGGGUUGACGGUAGCCGGGUAUGAAGCGCCGGCUAACUACGUG